GGGGCUCGGAAGGAGCGUCGUGGGCUCCGCCGCAGCUUCUCCUCCUCCUCUGGCGCAGGGAAAUCUUAGCCAUGGCUCUGAUAAUGAUCUUAACUUGCCAUCCCGGCGGAGCUCGACCCUCGGCGCCGGCGGAGCGCGCCUGCGGAGGGGCCGCGCCAGGCGCAGGGGAUGCUGCUGCAGGAAGAUCUGGAGAGCAGCGACUAUGCCGAAGAUGCAUUUGUCAUUCUUCUUCAAAAAGAAAACAAGACAAGGAAAGAAAAAGUUGCUGGAAGAGUUGCAGUGAGGAUAUGAGUUUCUGUAUGUUUUUUAAUGAGUAAUACCACAGAAGGAGAAAUUAUCUUUAUGAUGCUUUAGGUUUGCAGGACAAGCGAACAACCCAGAUUUUUUAAAUUUCCCCCCCCCCCCUUUUUUUUCCUUUUCCCAGGCGGUCGGGCGAGAGCAUUGUAAAAUAAUUUUAGGAAUGUGGCUUCCCUAUAAAACUCGAGUUAUGACAAAA